AUGAACGCUGGCGGCGUGCCUAAUACAUGCAAGUCGAGCGAACGGACGAGAAGCUUGCUUCUCUGAUGUUAGCGGCGGACGGGUGAGUAACACGUGGAUAACCUACCUAUAAGACUGGGAUAACUUCGGGAAACCAGAGCUAAUACCGGAUGAUAUUUUGAACCGCAUGGUUCAAAAGUGAAAGACGGUCUUGCUGUCACUUAUAGAUGGAUCCGCGCUGCAUUAGCUAGUUGGUAAGGUAACGGCUUACCAAGGCAACGAUGCAUAGCCGACCUGAGAGGGUGAUCGGCCACACUGGAACUGAGACACGGUCCAGACUCCUACGGGAGGCAGCAGUAGGGAAUCUUCCGCAAUGGGCGAAAGCCUGACGGAGCAACGCCGCGUGAGUGAUGAAGGUCUUCGGAUCGUAAAACUCUGUUAUUAGGGAAGAACAUAUGUGUAAGUAACUGUGCACAUCUUGACGGUACCUAAUCAGAAAGCCACGGCUAACUACGUG
rnacentral:rRNA from 1 species